ensembl:Y_RNA Y_RNA Y RNA
GGCUGGUCCCUAAGUAGUGGGAUAUUAUCAGAACCGACUAACAUUAAUGCCACUAAAGUUGGUAUACAGUCUCCCGCUGCCAAAUUUGACUGGCUUUUA